CCUUGUGGUUACAUACAGUAUAUGAUGGGCCAAAGAUCAAAUCUGAUACCAUUUUUUUAUUUAGAAAACCCCUUUGAUGGAAAGUUGUGUAAAUUAUUCAUUCACUUCUGUGUUGCUUGACUAGUAUAUAUUAAUUUUUUUUUAAUUCUUCAUAGGGAUGGUUGAUAGUCGUGAACAGCGUUGUUGGUGUUGUGCUUACAAAGAUAUCUACACAAGAACAAGGAAUGUAUGAAGAACAAACACUAUUUUUUUUUUUAUUACAAUUUAUUUUUUCAGAACAAUAGAAAAUACAACGGUUUAAUUUUCUUUAAUAAAAUUUUCAAUUUACAA